CAUGGCAUCAGCGUGAUAUGGUUGUUAUCUUUCAGUUCCUGCCAAUGUUUCUAUAUUCAGAAACACUUUUUUUACCUCUCAUUUAGAAACCGUUGAUCUGUUCGCAACUCCUCAUUCCCCACAGCUUCUACUUCAUCUACCCAAUUAAUUCAUUUACAGUUCAAUCAUUUAGAAGGAAAGUGAUGGACUUCAACAGCGGGCCAUGAUUUAUGCAUAAGAAUCUCCAGUUCAAUGAUCUAUGCUAUUUCUUUGUCAGUUGGCGGUAGCGGCCAUGAGCCAGCUCAUUCUGGAUUCGUGGGUGAAGGGAUGCUAGCAGCUGCAAUAUGUGGUGAUGUUUUUGCUUCUCCACCAGUUGAUGCUGUUCUAGCUGGCAUCCGAGCUGUAACUGGUCCAAUGGGGUGUCUACUUAUUGUCAAGG